rnacentral:lncRNA from 1 species
CUAUUAUGAGGUCAGGGUCAUUUAUAAGAAAAGUACUGGUUUCAUGUAAGCAUCUCAAACCUGUCUUUUCUCAAGAUGUAGGUAUCUGUGUGACGGAGUGCCGUGUAGACCAGGACUGUGGGGAAGGAAGACUAUGCAUCAGUAAUGGGUGUGGCCGUGUCUGCUUCCCAGGGCGAAGAGAGGCCUGCGAGCACCAGUGCAGAGAAGACAGGGACUGUGGGAGUGGACAUCAGUGCGUGAGGAAGGGCUGUGGGCACGUCUGCGCCCCCGUCCAUCAAGUCGAUGUAGGUAUCUGUGUGACGGAGUGCCGUGUAGACCAGGACUGUGGGGAAGGAAGACUAUGCAUCAGUAAUGGGUGUGGCCGUGUCUGCUUCCCAGGGCGAAGAGAGGCCUGCGAGCACCAGUGCAGAGAAGACAGGGACUGUGGGAGUGGACAUCAGUGCGUGAGGAAGGGCUGUGGGCACGUCUGCGCCCCCGUCCAUCAAGUCGAUGUAGGUAUCUGUGUGACGGAGUGCCGUGUAGACCAGGACUGUGGGGAAGGAAGACAAUGCACCAGCAAUGGAUGUGGCCGUGUCUGCUCCCCAGCCCAGCAAAGAGAGGCCUGCGAGCACCAAUGCAGAGAAGACAAGGACUGUGGGAGUGGACAUCAGUGCGUGAGGAAGGGCUGUGGGCACGUCUGCUCCCCCAUCCCUCAAGUAGGUAUCUGUGUGACGGAGUGCAAUGUAGACCAGGACUGUGGGGCAGGAAGACGAUGCACCAGCAAUGGAUGUGGCCGGGUCUGCUCCCCACCCCAGGGAGGAGGACUCUGUGUGGACCGCUGCCGAGGAAACUGGGACUGUGGGGCCGGAGAAGAAUGUAUCAGGAAGGGAUGUGGACGGGUCUGCUCUCCAGCCCAGGAGCCAGGUAAGAGCCCUGCCUAGGUCUCCAACCCCACACAACCCAGGAGGGGACUGUGUGCUUACCUCUGCCUGGACUCCCCUUCCUUAGAGGGUUAAUUCCCA